GGAAGCCAAACCACUCAAGCAUUCCAUUGCUUCAACUUCUGCUAACAAAUCUGAGACAGAUUCAUCGACCAAGGAAUUGAAGUCAUUGGGUUCAUCAUCAAUCCAAUUUAUUGUAGCCCCAGUUGUCUCGUGAUCGUCGAUUAUAUCAGAUGAUUUCAUACCAGAUGCAGUUAUGAAACUGGAGUUCAAGUCCUCAAUUGCUCUACCUGGUGCA
rnacentral:misc_RNA from 1 species